AAAUCAAUGUAUAAGAGGUCCUACCUGCCCAGUGACAUUAAGUUAAACGGCCGCGGUAUUUUGACCGUGCUAAGGUAGCGCAAUCACUUGUCUUUUAAAUGAAGACCUGUAUGAAUGGUGAUACGAGGGCUUAACUGUCUCCCUUUUUAGGUCAAUGAAAUUGAUCUGCCCGUGCAGAAGCGGACAUAAAAAUACAAGACGAGAAGACCCUUUGGAGCUUAAGACACAAGGUCAACUAUGUCAAAAUUACUACAAAAGAAAAUGAAACAAAAUACCAACUGACCAUAGUCUUCGGUUGGGGCGACCGCGGGGGAAAAGAAAGCCCCCAUGUGGAGUGGGUUAAAACCUAAAACUACGAGAGACACCUCUAAGUCACAGAAUAUCUGACCAAAAGAUCCGGCACUUAGCCGAUCAACGAACCAAGUUACCCUAGGGAUAACAGCGCAAUCCCCUCCAAGAGUCCUUAUCGACAAGGGGGUUUACGACCUCGAUGUUGGAUCAGGACAUCCUAAUGGUGCAGCCGCUAUUAAGGGUUCGUUUGUUCAACGAUUAAAGU
rnacentral:rRNA from 1 species